rnacentral:rRNA from 1 species
GACGAACGCUGGCGGCGUGCUUAACACAUGCAAGUCGAACGGCAACGCCCUGCUUUUUUGGUGUGCUCGAGUGGCGAACGGGUGAGUAACACGUGUGUAACCUGCCCUUGACUUUGGGAUAACUUCAGGAAACUGGGGCUACUACCAUAUAGGAGCUCCUGCUGCAUGGUGGGGGUUGGAUAGUUUAGGCGGUUGGGGAUGGACUCGCGGCUUAUCAGCUUGUUGGUUGGGUAGUGGCUUACCAAGGCUUUGACGGGUCGCCGGCAUGAGAGGGUGGCCGGAGUCAAGGGGACUGAGAUACGGCCCAGACGCGUACGGGAGGCAGUAGUGGGGAAUAUGGCACAAUGGGCGGAAGCCUGAUGCAGAAACGCCGCGUGCGGGAUGACGGCCUGCGGGUUGUAAACCGCUUUCGCCUGUGACGAAGCGUGAGUGACGGUAAUGGGUAAAGAAGCACCGGCUAACUACGUG